UCCAGCUCUACAGACUGCUCUCACUGUUUCCAGUGUGUGCCUCCUGAGCCUCCAAGAGGAAUCAUUACCAAGCUUCCCUGUGAACUGUGGUUGUUAUUUUUUAGACCGGAUAAUUCAGUUCCGGUUGGGUCAAAACUCUGGAGUAAUAUGAUAUAGGAUGUAGAGGAUCUUUUAGAGUCUUUCUUUGUGAAAGGACAGAACCAAUAGCAUGUUCUGAUGCAUCGACUUCGAGAACAAAGUGAACAAAGGUGUUCUCAUGAGACUUAUAAGCCUUCUUAUCCUGAAUUAAGGGUAACGUUAAGUUGCAGGCUGCUAGAAGAGAUCUACAUUCCUCGGUUGUGCAGUGAGGUCAAAUGUCCUGUCUGGAACUGAUGACGUCAGGUAUCAACUUAUUCUUGCUGGAAAAAGAGUGACAGAUAUGACAAAAUUAUACUUAAUAUGUGAAAACUACAUCCAAGUGAAGCAUUACUAUGAUGUAAUAACAAAAUGUUGCAUGUUUAAUAUUUUUUUUUUCAGGUCUCACAUCUCAUAGCAAGUAGAGAUGUGAUGUGACAUCAUUUUAUAGAAAUAUACUUAAUGUGCUAGUUCUUAUGUUAUAGUAGUCAAGCUUAAACUGACAGAUGCUUAAUCCAUUUAAGGGAUCACCAUGUUCUGGGCCAUCCUCAUUCAGUGCCAAGUGUUCCUCAUGGAUCCAUGAUGUCUAUCAAAUACCUGAUCCACGCAAUGGAAGCCUAAUACAGACACAAACAUGAUGUUUAAUCAACCAAAAACCAGCACAAUAACUUGUUAUACAGUUGCUCCACACAUUCUCCUGGGCUACAUACACAGAAAUAAAGUUGUUCUGAAACAAUCUGGUGGUUUAAACCUGACAGCAACCACACACUAUACAAUAACUUGGUUUACGUUGAUGCCUUAAGAAAGAAAUUGCAAACUUUACACUUUAUUUUUUUUCUUGGUGAUGCAGCAUUGCAUCCACUUAAAGGGAUAUAGACUGUAUACACAAGUCUUGACUGACUUUUGAUAUUUUUCUACACCAAUAAAUGUUAAAAUAUUUAAUAAGUUGAAUUUUACCCUAUUCAGGUACUAAAUCACUGUGUACCUGAUAACAAGACAUUUAUCGAGAUUACCUUGUCUUAUUCACUCGUGACAGGUCAUCUCGAGAGGGGGAUUAUGUCAGAACAGUUGUCUGGUAAAAUUCAACAUUUUUAUAUUGCAUAUUAAUCACAUAUGUCUGUGCUAUAUAAUAUAGGGGUAAAAUGUAUCAUGUGUAUUUACUUAUAGAUUUAGGUACACAUACACAUAUAUAUUAUUUUUCAUUAUUAAUAUGUAGCUAUUAGCUAGUGUUGCUUGUCAGUAUAUAAUUGCUUACUGCAACAUUUUUGUACUUUAUCAAAAUAAUUCAUGUUUACUUACUAUGAUAUUCAAGGUCUCUGACAUAGCUGCAUGAUUUCUAUCAUUAUAUUAUUGAUAUAAAUAUCCACAUGUUUUUCAUACAUGGUUCCAGUAAGUCUCUUUUUCUAUAAACAUUAGUGGGGUUCAACCUUGGUUAAUGGUCAAAUAGAGAUACUGACUUGUUUUUCAGAAUAUAUUUACAAAAUACAUAUUUGUCUAUUAUAGCUUAGUGACGAGUGCCAUCUUCCAAGGGAAAAAUAUUCUUACUGCUAAAUCUUAGCUUAUUAACAAAAAUGUUAAUUAAUCUGUAAUUAGUAUUAGCCAAUCAUUUAUUUGAAACCUAACCUUAUCAGUGGGGGUGGAGUUAAGAGCUUUCCAUAAAAUACACACCCACAAAAGGAGAGGGGAACACAAGCAGACAGCACAAGAGGCCACACUGAGCAUGCAUGAUAACCACACCCUAUCCAGAGGAGAUGGGAGGCUAAGCUGACCAGAUAGACAAGUCAGGAUAAUGGCAAGAGAGGGUCCAGGGGUAACCUUAGAGGGUCUUUUAACACUGAACCCCAGUGAAGGAUCCCACAAUGUUGAUAAGUAUGAAACAAACCUAUAUGAAACAGUUUUGUUAAUAUGAUUUAUGCUCUUUACAUUUAUAUUCAAAGUUUUAUUAUUGAAUCAGGUGAGUUAAUCAAUUCUGGUUUGCCUUUUAUAGUCACAAAUAUUUGUGUUAGGUAAUUCCUGUUAACCCGGUCUUAUCUGUCGACAAUAACACUGGGUUAAUCAGGAAUCUGGUAAUAAUAUAAUUUUCUUAUGGUUUGCCAGGAUUAUUA